GCCCCCUCCAUGGCGUGACAGCGGUGCAUUGCAUCGGGUAAAGCACCCCCAUGCAUAUUCGCAGGAGGGAGGGACGUCCAUGGAUUGGAUUGCAAGGAUUGGAUGCAAACCAAUGAACAGGAGGAGGAGAGAUGCAAGCCAUGCCAUCACCUGAAGGUCCCUGCCAUGAACCCCUUCCCCUUCACAUGUAUAAUCAUGCUCAACAUAUGAUUUUUUUAAUCUUCAAUUCAGCCUAGCUAGCUGUUGUAGUACUUGCUUGUCUCCUUCCAAAUGUUGCCCCAGUCCGUUGAGUUUCUUAUUGCUCCAGGUAGUACUGCUAUUUUUCUGCUCUGCAAUUUGACAUGCAUGGUUCCAGGCUCUCAGUCUACCACUUUUGUUGCUGUGAUGUCGAGCUCUGCUUUCUUUAUUAUCACGAGUUGCAAAAUUAGUAGGAAGUAAACUUUUGUUAACUUGUUGGUUGAACCAAUGGAACUACUGUUAUUGAUUUGUCGCUCAACUAGUUCUCCAAUGAUUGGAUCGAAUGAUGGCAUGACCCUACUAUUAUCAUUGCAAUUAUCUUGGUCUUAUAGAUGUUAUUGUUCCUGUCAUAUAUCACAUGCUACUUUCUUUAUUAGUUGGCUGCUGGUUCUAUUUGUUCAUAUGUAUAAGUGCUAAUGUUUCUUUGUUAUCUUAUAAAGGAUAUAGUGCUUCAUUUGUAUAUAGUUGUAACUCUCUUAUUGAUCAACAUAUACUGAUUCAUCUCUUUACUGCAAUUACUCUGUAGUUCAUGAUUUGCUCCCGUAGUGGUAUAAAAUAAUAGUUUCUCUUUCAAGCUGGUACUGUGUUUGAUAUAUACUAGUCUUCAUCUAAAUACCAUGUAUUGGUAUUUCUUAUAUGGUUUAGUACAUCAUCUACUGGUGGUUUAGUUGUAUAUUGUACAGGACAUAGUCCUGAUGGUUGCAUGUAGUGAUAAUUCUUUCUUUGCAUUAGCUAUUUCAUAUGUUUCAGAUGAUUUAGAUGCAUGCUUAUACUCCUAUCUAUACCAGGUGCAUGUGUUGUGCUUGUGUACCUAUAUACAGAAUAGUACCCAUGUGUAAGUGGGUGUAUGUGUUCUGCUUACAGCAGACGUUUAGUAAAUGUGCUAUCAAUGGCCUAUUUCUUGCAGGUUAUGGACUAUAUAUUUCCUUGCUAAUUCCCUCUCUCUUAAAUCUGAUUUGAACAGAUGCUACACUGGUCUCUUCACUUUCUUUCUUUCUCUCCUACUCUCACUGAUAAGAACAGGUGCUCCUUAAUCUUGUCAUGCCAAUGAUGGUGUCCUGAGGCUCUCAUCGUUACUUAACAACAGAUGCUGCACUACUUGAUCCAAUGAUGCAAUAGUCCUAGCACUACUAGGCUGCCUGAGGACAA